UACAGAGGUGGCAAGCGUUGUUCGGAAUUACUGGGCGUAAAGGGCGCGUAGGCGGUCUUGCAAGUCCCGUGUGAAAUCCCUCGGCUCAACUGAGGAAUGGCACGGGAAACUGCUUGGCUUGAGUUCGGGAGAGGGAUGUGGAAUUCCAGGUGUAGCGGUGAAAUGCGUAGAUAUCUGGAGGAACACCGGUGGCGAAGGCGGCAUCCUGGACCGGUAUUGACGCUGAGGCGCGAAAGCUAGGGGAGCAAACGGG
rnacentral:rRNA from 1 species